rnacentral:rRNA from 1 species
CCAGCCGCGGUAAUUCCAGCUCCAAUAGCGUAUAUUAAAGUUGUUGCAGUUAAAAAGCUCGUAGUUGAACUUCGGGGUUCACCCAUUGGUCAGGCUUAAUUGUCUGUACUGGUGAGAUGAGUCUCUACCUUCUGAGGAACUUUCAUGCCAUUUAUUUGGUGUGGUUGGAAAUCAGGACUGUUACUUUGAAAAAAUUAGAGUGUUUAAAGCAGGCUAACGUCUGAAUACAUUAGCAUGGAAUAAUGAAAUAGGACGGAUUGAUUCUAUUUCGUUGGUUUCUAGGGUCACCGUAAUGAUUAAUAGGGAUAGUUGGGGGCAUUAGUAUUCAAUUGUCAGAGGUGAAAUUCUUGGAUUUAUUGAAGACUAACUACUGCGAAAGCAUUUGCCAAGGAUGUUUUCAUUAAUCAAGAACGAAAGUUAGGGGAUCGAAGACGAUCAGAUACCGUCGUAGUCUUAACCAUAAACUAUGCCGACUAGGGAUCGGACGCAGUUAAUUUUAUAAUGACGUGUUCGGCACCUUACA